UCGGGAAUUUUGGGCAAUGGGCGAAAGCCUGACCCAGCAACGCCGCGUGAGGGAUGAAGUAUUUCGGUAUGUAAACCUCGAAAGAAUGGGAAGAAUAAAUGACGGUACCAUUUAUAAGCUCCGGCUAACUACGUGCCAGCAGCCGCGGUAAUACGUAGGGAGCAAGCGUUGUUCGUAUUUACUGGGCGUAAAGGGCGCGUAGGCGGCGCGGUAAGUCACUUGUGAAAUCUCUGAGCUUAACUCAGAACGGCCAAGUGAUACUGCUGUGCUCGAGUGCGGAAGAGGCAACCGGAAUUCUUGGUGUAGCGGUGAAAUGCGUAGAUAUCAAGAGGAACACCUGAGGCGAAGGCGGGUUGCUGGGCCGACACUGACGCUGAUGCGCGAAAGCCAGGGGAGCAAACG
rnacentral:rRNA from 1 species